CGGGCCACCGCAGCAGCGGCCACGCGCGAUGUUUAGGGUCGUGACCGCAACGGUUAAACUUCAGCUUGCGGGCAGUGUUCGUGGAGAGGUGGAGUCAGACCUCUGCCGGCUGCCGGUUGUACGGCAGGGCCGAGCCCUCCCGCGCACGCAGGCUUCUGCGGUCCUGGCUGCCUCCAAGCCAGGCACGAGUCACCUUCCAGGGCCAGCGCUGGAGAAGAGGGAGGCAAGGCGGGGUCAAGGCGGGCCCAAGUGCGCAACCCACGGCGACCCAGGUGUGGAAGAGGCGGCGAGUGCGGGGCCAGGACCUGCGGGGAGCAAAGGGGAUGGAACUCGGAAGGACCCCGAGCCUGGCCACAAUGCAAGGAGAGAGAGACUCCUAUCAGAUUCUCUUACAGAAUAUUUUCUGUCUUUACUGCAUGGGUCCUGAGGAGAACCUGGAAAACAUUUUGUCCUCAACAUGUGCAUUGAAAUAUGAGAAUUUCUUGUAGAAGUUCUAGCUUAAAAAUCAGUUUGCCUUCACAUCAAAAAGUGGCCAUUUUAAUAAAUAUCGUGAAGACUUUUCAUCAUAAGCAAGGAUGACUCUCCAUAUUUGGAACCUAAAAUGGACUUUUAGGCACUCAAUAGAUUUUAAGAUUUAAUUACAAUCCAUACUCCAUGGCUGUAUCAAGUUUUUGGUUCACUCCACCCCCUCCUCUAUCCACCCUCCCUGCUUUCACUUUCAGCCUCCUUGUUUUCAUCUCUGGGUAGAAUCUUUCUUAAAAAAUUUAUUGGAUGAUUUACAUGGGUGAUUUACAGUGGUGUGUUAGUUUCUGCUGUACAGCAAACUGUGUAGGAUACCUGAAUAAGUUCACCCAAGGAAAGCUUGUGAACAAAACUGAUAUGUGCAAUUUCUGCUUACCAUGCUGAAAAAGAAAUUUCGUUUGCCCUUGUUUUUAAUUGUUCUUUGUUAAGGAGGGCUGGGGCAUGGAUGUGGGAGUGGCCUGAAUCUGCCAAUCAGAAAACAACCUCUAAAAUGGGGGAGCCAGGGGCAAGAUGAAAAGAACCUGGAGCCUUGGAUGGACCACCUGAGUUAGAGCUCCCUGGCCUGGGCUCAGCAUACUAUGUCUGUAAAAGGCCAGAUAAUAAAUGCUUUAGGCUUUGUAGGUCAUAACCUCUCUGUUCUAUUUUGCCAUUUGUAGUCCAAAAAGUAGCGGUAGAUAAUACUUGACUGUGAAUGAGUUGUGGGUCAGUGUUCCUGUAAAAGUUUAUUUAAUGGACACUGAAGAUUGAAUUGUAUAAAGUUUUCAUGUGCCACGAAAUAUGCUAUCUUUCUUUUUUUUCCCCCAGCCAUUUAAAGAUGUGGAAACUACUCUUACCUUAGAAACAGACAGCAAACUAGAUUUGAGCCCAGGUGGGCUUCCCUUGUAGCUCAGUUGGUAAAAAAUCUGCCUGCAGUGCAAGAGACCAGGGUUUGAUUCCUGGCUUGGGAAGAUCCUCUGGAAAAGGAAAUGGGAGCCCACUUCAGUAUUCUUGCCUGGAGAAUCCCAUAGACAGAGAAGCCUGGCAGGCUACAGUCCAUGGGGUCCUAAGAAUCAAGACACAACUUAGCAACUGACUAAACCACCACCAUGUUUGUUCCCCUUCCCCCUCUCUCCCCCCACUCCACCUAGGCUACUGAGCUCUGGACUCUACUGGGAGACAAACUUCCUCUUCUUUAAGUUGCUAUAUUAAAGGAACUUAGCCAGUACCCUAUGUAAUACACUCCUCUGCAAAGAUGAUCUUAGUUACCUUGAGUGAACUUGGAGGAGUGCUUUUUGCACGACUAGAAGCUGCCGCAAACAAGAACUGGAAUGGAGAUGGAGUGACAAAUUGCUUUCUCUUCUCCUCUCCUACGAACAGGCUGUGUGUUUAGAGAAUCAGUCGAAUUACUCGCACAAUAGUUUUGAGGCUAUGUACAUUUUAAAUUUUAAGUGUCUUUUAAGGUAUUGAUAUUUGACUUUUGAUGCGUGUUUUUUGUAGUCAUGUACAAUAGUGAUUAAUUGAUAAGAAUGACUAUUUCUGGCUUAGCCCUCCCCUACCAAAAAAGUCCCACAAAAUUUGAACUGUUUUUUCAUUGUUUUCUUUUUUAAUAAUCAGCAGUCAAUAGUUAUGGGGCACCUGUAUGCAAAAUCCUGCCAACAACUGCAUUAAAUUUACUUUAAAAGACGUGAUCCUUGCCUAGCUUUCAGACCUGUUAAGGAAACACAGGGAGACAUACCUACCUCAUCUCAAAAGUUUUAGAGUGUCUGAUAUAAAGAUCGCUUGAAUCCAGUAAUCUGCAAAUCAUCUGUGGAAACACAUGAGGGACCUUGAAGAUGAUAGAAGGGCCAUUUGGUGUGUCUGCUAAAAAUUUUGUAACCAUAUUACAGACAGUCCUUCCCAAAAACAUGCAAAAAGAGAUCGUUAUUUCAGAAAUUUGAUCCUGAUUGAAAAACAGCAUCUUGACCUCUUACAUCAGACUUUUUCUAGGUGUAUGCCCCAAACCUCUGGGUUUCAGGAGAGAAUUUUAGGGCUUCUGUUGAACAGCAACAACCAAAACAGUAAGAAUAAAUAAAUAUACUGAGGUUAGCGCACCAUCUUUCUUCCUUCCCAUGUCCAGGCCUCUUUGAACCUUCCUCCACUUUUACACUUUUAGGAAAAGUGUUGAAGAGAGAGAGAGGUUGCAGGGGAGAAGUUGUAACUCUGGCCGAUAUGUCUGGGCCACAGAGCCACAGGAAAGCAGCUGCACCUUGGACUGUGUUUGUGGCCCUGAGUAAUUCUCUGUCUCUUUGUUUUGAUGUUCAUUGACCUUCCUGAAGUGGGCUUUGAUGUUGUGUUGUUUAGUUGCUAAGUCAUGUCCGACUCUUUUGCGACCCCAUGCACUGUAGCCUGCCAGGCUCCUCUGUCCAUGAGAUUUCCCCAGGCGGGAAUACUGGAGUGGGUUGUCAUUUCCUUCUCCAGGGGAUCUUCUCGAUUUAGGGAUCAAACUGGCAUCUCUUGCAUGGACUGGGGGAUUCUUUACCACUGAGCCAGCAGGGAACCCCUUUGAUGUUGUAGGCUAUCACAAUACUGCUCAGAAGGGAGCUUGGGCUGGGAGAAAGGGAAAAGGCAAAAGAUGUCAGGCCAAUUAAUUAUUCUGUUUAAGUGACCUAAAGUCUAGGAUAAGGGGAGCCUUACAAUAGACAAAUAGCCCAGAUUUUUUUUUUGGACCUGCAGUAGUGGUCCGCUCAAAACAUAUGACCUCGUUUUCAAUAACUUGGAUGGACAUGGAGGGUAUUAUAAUAAGUGAAAUAGGUCAGAUAGAGAAACUGUCCGAUAUCAUACGUGGUAUCUAAAAUAUAAAACAAAGGAAUGAAUAACAAAUUGGAAAUAGACUCAGAUAACACUAAACAGAGAAUGAGCUAGUGGUUACCAGUGGGGAGAUGGCAGGUAAAGGGAUGAGACGGGGUAGGGUAUUAAAAGAAGUACAAAUUACUAUGUAUAAAAUAAAUAAGAUAUAAGGAUAUAUUGUACAACACAUGGAAUAUAGCUAACAUUUUAUAAUAACUUUAGAUGAAGCAUUAUCUAUAAAAAUAUUGAAUCAUCAUGUUGUAUACCUGAACCUAAUAUAAUAUUGUACAUCUACUACACUAUAAUUCUUGAAAAGACAUAUGUCCUAAUACUACUCCUUCAGAUCUUUUAAAUGAGGGCAUAAUUAAGAAUAUUUUUAUUUGCCCUUACUACAUGAGAUGGUUAGAUAGCAUCAUCGACUCAAUGGACAUGAAUUUGAGCAAACUCCAGGAGAUAGCGAAGGAUGGGGAAACCUGGUGUGCUGCAGUCCAUGGGGUCGCAAAGAGUCGGACACAAUUGCGACUGAACAACAGGAACGCAUGCUCCCACACUCUUCUAGGAACCCAACCCAUGUAAUUCUCACAGCCAUCCUUUGGGGAAAGUACCCAUUUGUAUCCAUCUUGUAGAAGAGGGGUAGAGGUGCCCUACGUCCCUAGUUGGUAACUGGCAGAGUCAGGAUUUGAGUGGAAUCAGGCAGAUACCAGAGCUUGUUUGCUGAGUCGCCCAGCUCAGACUAACCGCUUCUUUGAAGGUCCAUAGGCAGGACAGAGAAAAAGAGCUGUAAACACUUGCUGGAUAAUUGUAGGCACAGCUAACUGUGUGGUUGCACAUCUUCUGGCUCCUCACUGAACCACACGGCAUCUGAGGCCACCGUGUUCUUUUUCCCUUCUGUCCAUGGCCUUUCUCCUGGGUGGGGAGAAUGUGGACUCUCAGUGUCACCCAGAUAUGACGUCCCACGGCUCAGACAUGGUGGUGAAAAGGCUGUAGGUCACAUCAGUCUGCCUGUGUGAGCUCACUCGAAAGUCAGUGACUUCUGCAUCUUCCGCAGGUUCUCUAAAUCCAGGGAGGCUCCUUCCCAUUUUGGUAUUGAAGUGGUUCAACAAUGAAAAACAGCAUGCUUUAGAACAGCCGCAGUAGGCUGGAACGUUGUCUGUUAUAGGAGUGGGCACAGCACGGUUGAAAGUGGCCUAUCUUGAAUGCGGUUAAAGCCCAGCAGCUUUGAUUAUGAAGCUUUGGUUAAAAUGACAGUGGUCCUUACAACUUCCUAACCCUCGGCUUGCUGUUUUGUCUCUGUUAUGUUUUGUUUUGUCUUGUUUUCCUUUGUCAGGCCUGCCUCUAACAUUUGCAGAGCCCACGGCAAGAGUACAAAUGAACGCCCACAGACCAUAUGUCUAAAUAUUUAAAAGUUAUAAAAUCAGCUAAAACACAGUUAAAUAAAAUAUGUUCCAUCCUUCUACCUUGACAAAUAUACCAUCAUGGUGAAAAAUGGAAAACUAUGUAAAGUUAUGGCUUUUUGGGAAAAUAUCAAAGACAAGUAAGCGUAAUUGUUAUUGCAUAUGUCUGGGUGUUUUGUUGUUGGGCUGGAAAUGUUUAGAUGAGUGAUGAAAUGAAAGAGAAAUAAUUCAUAAUCUACUAUUUAUCCAAUUGAAUUGAUUUUUUUGUCUGCAUUUCGGUAAGAAUCAAUAUAUCGUUAUAAUCAAUAUUCCAUAAUUUGUCCUGAAGGGUUGCAAAUACACUGUAAUUCUACUAAAAGUGUCCAAAACUUUGAAUAUAUGUUUAUCAAGAAUGUGUAUUAAUAUAAAUAUGGGAAAUUUUAAGUUAAA
rnacentral:lncRNA from 1 species